rnacentral:rRNA from 1 species
UACGUAGGGGGCAAGCGUUGUCCGGAAUCAUUGGGCGUAAAGGGCGCGUAGGCGGUUUGUUAAGUCGGCUGUGAAAGCCUGGGGCUCAACCCCAGAGGGUCGGCCGAUACUGGCAGACUAGAGUACGGAAGAGGUAGCUGGAAUUCCCGGUGUAGCGGUGAAAUGCGUAGAUAUCUGGAGGAACACCGGUGGCGAAGGCGGCAUCCUGGACCGGUAUUGACGCUGAGGCGCGAAAGCCAGGGGAGCAAACGGG